CCAGCACUCACACACACAUCAUCCAGCACACACACACACAUCAUCCAGCACUCACACAAACACCCAUCAUCCAGCACACACACAAACACACAUCAUCCAGCACUCACACAAACACCCAUCAACCAGCACUCACACACACAUCAUCCAGCACUCACACAAACACCCAUCAUCCAGCACUCACACACACAUCAUCCAGCACACACACACAUCACCCAGCACACACACAC